rnacentral:rRNA from 1 species
UGAGUAACACGUGAGUAACCUGCCCCCGACUUUGGGAUAAGCCCGGGAAACUGGGUCUAAUACCGGAUAUGACUUCUUACCGCAUGGUGGGUUGUUGAAAGAUUUAUCGGUGGGGGAUGGACUCGCGGCCUAUCAGCUUGUUGGUGAGGUAAUGGCUCACCAAGGCGACGACGGGUAGCCGGCCUGAGAGGGUGACCGGCCACACUGGGACUGAGACACGGCCCAGACUCCUACGGGAGGCAGCAGUGGGGAAUAUUGCACAAUGGGCGAAAGCCUGAUGCAGCGACGCCGCGUGAGGGAUGACGGCCUUCGGGUUGUAAACCUCUUUCAGUAGGGAAGAAGCGAAAGUGACGGUACCUGCAGAAGAAGCGCCGGCUAACUACGUGCCAGCAGCCGCGGUAAUACGUAGGGCGCAAGCGUUAUCCGGAUUUAUUGGGCGUAAAGAGCUCGUAGGCGGUUUGUCGCGUCUGCCGUGAAAGUCCGAGGCUCAACCUCGGAUCUGCGGUGGGUACGGGCAGACUAGAGUGAUGUAGGGGAGACUGGAAUUCCUGGUGUAGCGGUGAAAUGCGCAGAUAUCAGGAGGAACACCGAUGGCGAAGGCAGGUCUCUGGGCAUUUACUGACGCUGAGGAGCGAAAGCAUGGGGAGCGAACAGGAUUAGAUA